GCCAUGUAAAUAGUUUAUGAUUAUUAUUAAUUAAUGUUAUACAUAAUGCACACUGCUCUGUAUGUUGAAAUAAAUCUAUCUUACUUCAGCUACAGUCGUAUGAAAUGCAGCUGCCAGAUUUUAAUAUCCGUCUCUUGGCUUCUGCUGUGGCUCAGAUUGAUUUCAGUGGAUUUCCAAUAACUCUCAAGAAACAUGCCACUGAGACUUCUGCUACCACCCCGACACAAUAUAGACCGAUUUCUGCUUCCUCCAGACUGCACACGGUGGAGAGUGAGACGACAGCAGCAGCAGCAGCAGGGUGUGACAUAAAGCAAAACCCUG